GAGCUGAGGCCUUUGGGCUCUGAAUGUGCCCGAGCAAGAAGUUAGCAGUGUUCCAUUCUGAUGUGAAAAGUACCUUCCUAGAGAGCUGCCCAGGAUUGAGGAGAGGUGCUGGACAGAGCCAGUGCUGAAGAGCAGAUUUGCUUAUCCAUAUUAUACCUGUCUCACUUGGAGCCGUGGGACACAGUGAUUGCUGAUGUCCUACUUUUCCUGUGAAUGUCUUCUAAAGAACACUUUGAGGAGAAGGACACAUCACAGACAAAAUGCCUUUCAUGUCCUUUGGCCCCCUUUCAAAUGGGAAAAUCUAAAGCAUCAGAACAAAUAUAGUAAAAAAAUUGAGCAAGGUGUUCCUGACAGUAAACAAAUACUAAAAAAGCAAAUUCAGUACAAAUACUAUCCCAGGCUACAGUUUUUGUGGAAAAGGAAAGUAUAAAUCUUUGCUACACUGCGUUCAAGAGAAAGCUGUUAAAUACACUGAAGCUACCUCAAGUCCUGAAAACUGGAUUCACUGAAAUUCAGGGAAGUCCUGGCUUUUCACUCUUAUGGAAGGGGGUAAGGAACUCAAGACUGAAUUUAACUGAGGUGCUAGAGAUCACUUUUAGUUAGUCCAGUGGGCUUUGGAUAAGG